rnacentral:rRNA from 1 species
UACGAAGGGGGCUAGCGUUGCUCGGAAUCACUGGGCGUAAAGCGCACGUAGGCGGCUUUUUAAGUCAGGGGUGAAAUCCUGGAGCUCAACUCCAGAACUGCCUUUGAUACUGAGAGGCUUGAGUCCGGGAGAGGUGAGUGGAACUGCGAGUGUAGAGGUGAAAUUCGUAGAUAUUCGCAAGAACACCAGUGGCGAAGGCGGCUCACUGGCCCGGUACUGACGCUGAGACGCGAAAGCGUGGGGAGCGAACAGG